rnacentral:lncRNA from 1 species
GUCAAAUUUAGCGUUCAAAUCCAUUUGCAAGUUCUAUCGUUGCGCCUGUUAACAGAUUUUUUCCCCAUUUUUUUAUGGUGGUUCACUGUAAAUUGAGCGGAGCAGGCAUGAUGGAUCAUCAACAGAAAUGAAGAACCACGAAAAAAACUGAACAGAACUAGCAACGACAAUGCAAAGAUACAGUGAAUGUAAGUUUUGCGGGUACAAUGCUUAUGCAGUAAUUUAAAUACUUUUAAAUACCAAUGUUGACUGCUACAUCCCAUUUUCCUCACUCAGCCGUGGCGGACACCUCGCCAAAUAUUGGGGGUGGGGGAAUUUGAUUGCCAACAUCAUAUGAAAUCUCAAUUACGUAAUCUUCUUUGCCUUAAUAUAUAACUUCUUUGCCUUAAUAUAUUCGCAAUAUAUAACUUGAUUGAAGAAUUCGUGGUUAAAAAUUAUUGUUACAGCUUUGUUACAGGGUGACCACCUGCGCCUCCCGGUGUCCACCGCUGCUACUCAGUUCUUCCUUUAUUUCUGUGUGAUAUGCUACACCUUGAUUGUUAUGUACUUUUGAAAUUUUAGCAUUGCUAUCUUUAAAAGUAUAUAAGUAAACGUUUCCUAUAACAUGUGUAGUGAAAUAUUCAAUCUAUACUGAUGGGAAAUAUCCUUUCAUUUCAGAUGAAGACCCACAACCAACAGAUCCUACAACAUCGAUGCCGGAUCAACCGAGAAACAAUUACGAAAAUGCAAAAGUGAUUAAUAUAGAUGUAAGUGAUGUUAUAAAACUUUUGAAAUACAUGAAUGCAGGAAUUUAUCGCUUUUUCGAUCUUAAUAAUAUAAUUAGUUCUUUGUAGGAUAGCAUGGCGAUAAAACAUGUAAUAUUUAUUGUUUGUGGAAACACCUCGUAAAUUUAUUACCGCAAGCUCUCAUAUAUACAUGAAAAAACAUAAUGAUAAUAUACAUGACUAAUAUACAUGAAGAAACGUUCUCGAGUCUGAUUGAAAUACAGUUCCAAAAAAGAAAUACAUUGCUAAAACGAAAUAGUUCGAAAACAGCAAAACUGUUGACAGUUGAAAUCUUGUAUUAAGUUGUUGGGUCAUUUAAUUAAAUGCGCGGGUAAAUGAUUUACUUCGCAUGUGCUUCGUGCCAGGAAUCGAAGUGACCAUAAAUUCGCUUCUGCGUAAUUGUUCAUGUAUAUUAUUCAAAAAAUAAUAGUAUGGUUUCUCGUCCAAUUUGGAAAAACAUAAACUCACGAGUUUUUAAAACGUCAAAUUGCACUCGUACUUCAGACUUAUGCAAUUUUGAUCGUCUUUGAAAAACUCACUCGUGAGUCGUGUGUAUGAUUUUUCAAAUUGCACUCAGAACCGUACAAAUGCCUACACAAACAACUAUAAUUCCAAAACGUUGUUUAUUUUUGGCGCAUUUGAAGAAUUAUUUUAAAAGUUUUUGACUUUUUUUCUGGCCGUUGCUGGCAAAUAGCAGAUUCGCAAAAAUAUAAAUUUGUUAUCGCAAAAAUGUACUGGAUCUUUCUUCGUCCACUGGUCAAAAUGUUUUUGAUAGGGAAAUUCGCGAUUUUCCGUCGGGAACCUUUCUCUCCUUCCCAACGAAGCAUUAAAUAACAAUAUUUUUCAGUAAAAAAACUAGGCCAAAAACAAAUAAAACGUUCAAAAAUCAAAUGAAAUAUUUUCCUUCCCCAGGUCUCCUAUAUGUUCACCGCGUUAACUUUGACGCAUGCGCAGACACAAUUCCUACCUUUUCGUUGUUUCAACAAGAAGUAAUGGGUGACCGUGUGGUCACUAUUGCCUUCCAACAUGGUUGCCGUGACGUCACAUGAAACACUCUGUCCGCCUAUGCCUUGACCUUCUAUUUUUAAUUUCGGUGCCUUUUCACAUGAGAAGACCAGGACCCACGCGCUUUGGGGCGGGCGUAGGAUUGACAAAAGCAUGUGACGUCAUACUUACCAAAUGCUAGCCCAAAAUUGACAAAAACUUGCCGAGUAAAGGACCUAGGUCUAGGCUCAACCUCGUACCCAGGGACUUUCCUCUUGGGGAGCAAAGGCCCUGGUAGACGCUGGUCACGUGAUCUGCUAAAAUCUAGCAGAUUUUUAAUUAGCAAUCCAAGAUCAGGUCAAUAAACAUUUGAUAUUUGGAUUAUUUUGAUAGUUUAAUUUAUAAUUUGCAUUUUGUAUGAUUGUCGUAAAGAAAACCAAGAUAGUUAAUUAGAAAUCUGCUAGAUUUUAGCAGAUCACGUGACCAGCGUCUACCAGGGUCUUUGCUUCCCAAGAGGAAAGAGGUUGGGUCUAGGUUGGGUCUAGGCUAUCAUCGAAAUUAUUAAUUAUAUAUGUACAUCAAUAAUAUUAAUUGGCCAUUUGAAACAUGAAAUAGCACGCAAUUCAAAAUUGUUAUUAUGGGAUAAAAAAUGCCGUUGAAUUGGCGCCGAAGCCUAAAAUGUCAACGGCAACUUUUUAUCUGCGAUAAUUUGGUAAAAUUGUGAGGAUUGAACAUCUGAUAAAAAAUCCUGGCAAUUUACGUAGACAUUAAGUUCCUUUUCUACCAAACAUCACUCAAGCCUUUAACAUGAUUCGAUCCUAUUUCAUGGACUCAUGGAUCCUUUUUUAAUUCCUAAAGGUGAUGUGUUGAAAUGUUGAUGUAAUGAAAAGAGAUGAUAAGAGAUGAUGAAAAGACCAAAAAGAGCCACUCACGAAUGGCAUGGAGCCAGGAAAAAAUGGCGAUUCGCAAUAAUCGGAAACCACAACAUUGCUAAUAUGAAAGUAGCGAAAUAUUUUACCAAUGUAAGUUAGUUAAAGACAAAAUACUUAUUUAAAGAUCAAAGGGGAUUCAAGUGAAUACAAUGAUUUUCUAAUUGAAAA